GAGAGACGCAGCAGCUGGAAGAGGGAACCAGCAGGGAGGUGAAAGGCCCACACAGGCUGGGAGGAGACGCAGCAGCUGAAGAGGGACCAGCAGGGGAGAGGAGCUGAGCUGGAAGUGUUCUGAGCCAUCCUCCAGCUCAGCUCCUCUCCCCUGCUGGUUCCUUCUUCAGCUGCUGCGUCUCUCCCAACCUGUGUGAGCCCUUUCACCUCCCUGUUGGUUCCCUCUUCAGCUGCUGCGUCUCU
rnacentral:miRNA from 1 species